rnacentral:rRNA from 1 species
UACGUAGGGUGCAAGCGUUGUCCGGAAUUAUUGGGCGUAAAGAGCUCGUAGGCGGCUUGUCGCGUCUGCUGUGAAAUCCCAAGGCUUAACCUUGGGCCUGCAGUGGGUACGGGCAAGCUAGAGUGCGGUAGGGGAGAUUGGAAUUCCUGGUGUAGCGGUGGAAUGCGCAGAUAUCAGGAGGAACACCGAUGGCGAAGGCAGAUCUCUGGGCCGUAACUGACGCUGAGGAGCGAAAGCAUGGGGAGCGAACAGGAUUA